rnacentral:rRNA from 1 species
GCAUAACGCGAAGAACCUUACCAAGGCUUGACAUCCCCUUGACCGGCACAGAGAUGUGCCCUCUCCUUCGGGAGCAAGGGUGACAGGUGGUGCAUGGUUGUCGUCAGCUCGUGUCGUGAGAUGUUGGGUUAAGUCCCGCAACGAGCGCAACCCUUAUCCUUAGUUGCCAGCAGGUUAAGCUGGGCACUCUAAGGAGACUGCUGAUGAUAAAUCGGAGGAAGGUGGGGAUGACGUCAAAUCAUCAUGCCCCUUAUGUCUUGGGCUACACACGUGCUACAAUGGUCGGUACAAAGGGCAGCGAAGGAGUGAUCUGGAGCGAAUCCCAAUAAACCGAUCUCAGUUCGGAUUGUAGGCUGCAACUCGCCUACAUGAAGUCGGAGUUGCUAGUAAUCGCAAAUCAGAACGUUGCGGUGAAUACGUUCCCGGGUCUUGUACACACCG